rnacentral:sRNA from 1 species
AAGGGCCGCUCCUCCCGCCAGCCCGGUGGGAGCAGGGAGCAGGGAGUUGGGGACCUCCUUCCCGGCCUCCGCAGUCCCGUGGGAUCCGCGCCGCCUCUGACCUCGGCUAGGGGGCCGGGCUUUCCUGGGGACUGGCCGGCCCCUGGCGGGCUCCCGGGCUGGGGUCGCCCCCUGCCUGCGGCGUUCUCAGACAUCCCAUCUGAUUUCUAACGCUCACCCUUCCACCGCGCUGGGGAAAGAUGUGGGAAGAUAAAUGAAGGGGUCUAGAAGUAAAUGUCAGUGGAAAGGAGAGCUACCAUCACUAAGGUUUAUAUUCUACAAGAUCCUGAAGAUACUUUCCUUCUUUUCCGGCUGAAAACACAGUUAAAUCACUUUCAAAGUUAAAAGACUAUUAAGAACACAAGAUGGGGACUCCUGGUUCUGGAAGGAAAAGAACACCUGUGAAAGACAGAUUUUCUGCA